AGUGAACGCUGGCGGUAGGCCUAACACAUGCAAGUCGAACGGCAGCACAGUAAGAGCUUGCUCUUACGGGUGGCGAGUGGCGGACGGGUGAGGAAUACAUCGGAAUCUACUUUUUCGUGGGGGAUAACGUAGGGAAACUUACGCUAAUACCGCAUACGACCUACGGGUGAAAGCAGGGGAUCUUCGGACCUUGCGCGAUUGAAUGAGCCGAUGUCGGAGUAGCUAGUUGGCGGGGUAAAGGCCCACCAAGGCGACGAUCCGUAGCUGGUCUGAGAGGAUGAUCAGCCACACUGGAACUGAGCCACGGUCCAGACUCCUACGGGAGGCAGCAGUGGGGAAUAUUGGACAAUGGGCGCAAGCCUGAUCCAGCCAUACCGCGUGGGUGAAGAAGGCCUUCGGGUUGUAAAGCCCUUUUGUUGGGAAAGAAAAGCAGCAGGUUAAUACCCCGCUGUUCUGACGGUACCCAAAGAAUAAGCACCGGCUAACUUCGUG
rnacentral:rRNA from 1 species